rnacentral:rRNA from 1 species
GGAGCACGCCGCGUGAGUGAUGAAGGUUUUCGGAUCGUAAAACUCUGUUGUCAGGGAAGAACAAGUACCGGAGUAACUGCCGGUACCUUGACGGUACCUGACCAGAAAGCCACGGCUAACUACGUGCCAGCAGCCGCGGUAAUACGUAGGUGGCAAGCGUUGUCCGGAAUUAUUGGGCGUAAAGCGCGCGCAGGCGGUUCCUUAAGUCUGAUGUGAAAGCCCCCGGCUCAACCGGGGAGGGUCAUUGGAAACUGGGGAACUUGAGUGCAGAAGAGAAGAGUGGAAUUCCACGUGUAGCGGUGAAAUGCGUAGAGAUGUGGAGGAACACCAGUGGCGAAGGCGACUCUUUGGUCUGUAACUGACGCUGAGGCGCGAAAGCGUGGGGAGCAAACAGGAUUAGAUACCCUGGUAGUCCACGCCGUAAACGAUGAGUGCUAAGUGUUAGAGGGUUUCCGCCCUUUAGUGCUGCAGCAAACGCAUUAAGCACUCCGCCUGGGGAGUACGGCCGCAAGGCUGAAACUC